rnacentral:lncRNA from 1 species
CAUGAAAUAAAUCAAGGAACUGGUUUAAAAAUAAAUAAAUAAAUAAAAGGCUGAUGAGGCAAAACUGAUGAGCUACAACAUCGGGCAGAGAUGAGAAAACAGUUUUUGGUUGGUAUGAUUGCCAAUGCCCUGAGUGUGAAACCAAUCCAGUUGUCAGUGUCCUCAAAUCCUUUGAGGCAGACAUAGUGGUGGUGUUAAUGUCUCUUCAGCUUUACCUAGAAACCUAGUCUGUUGUCAACAAAAGUCACAUGCCCCAUUUCUCAUGCAGUGUCUGAGGACAGAGCCUGUCCCAUACUCUCCCUCCUGCUGGCAGCAACACAGCUCUGUGAGCUCCAGCCCGGAGGUCUGGAAAAUUUCAGGCUUUGAUGUUCACACAGUAAAUUUAAAUAACAGCUUACAUCUCAGUGAAUACUUGAAGCUCCUGGAGAAUACACUUUUACCCUGCAGUAUGUCCUCUUGAAAUGAUUCUUUAUUGUUGUCUUUCUAUGUAAUGGUAAUAGUAUUUGAAGCACGUCAAUGUAAAACCAUAUAGGUUCAUUUUCAGAAUCUGCAGUGAAGACAUUCUACUGAAAAUUAGAAUUAUACUGGUCUAAAAGAGAAAUGAGAAUUAGAUUGCAAGGCUUAAGGAACAAGACAGGGCUGUAAAACAGCAGGAAAAAAAAGUUGGACUGAAGAGGAUGGGGGGCCCAGCUAUAGAAAUCUGCAUUUACUCAUCAGAGAUUUCCAUGUAGCACAGCAGACUGGUACACACUCACACAAGCAUGAAGCUAUUGUGAUACAAAUAUAAGUUCUCCGUGUGAAUAUUUUAGCAACAUUACGUGACCUAAUGUUCCAUUGCUCACUGAAGAUGUAGCAGGUCUCCUCUGUGGGGCAACAGUAAUAUAUACACCCCUUUAUUACCAAAUAAACAGAGUUUUCCUCAUUCUGGAUUAAUUUCUGUUAUUUGUUUAUCUUAGUAGUUGUGUCAGGCACUUUGGAUUUUUUUUCUUCCUAAUAAAGAAAGACUAGAAAGGUAUUUGUGAUAGAUAUGGUGCAGUCCAGCAGUUGAAGUUCAUUAAUAAUUGGAAUGUUGCAGAGUAUGAAGUAAUGAAUACUAAUUACUCCUUUCAUGUCUGACAGCACCCCGUGGACCAAUACAUCAGCCCAGACUUUAAUUUGGUUCUAGUAAUGGUUUCAUCAAUAGUACAUUAAUUCUGUGUUUGAAAAGAUAUACAGUUGAACCUGACCCACACAGUAGAUACCACUGUCAUAAAAUGGCCACAUACUGACAACAACUGGAUAAUUACAAAUAAUUAAAUCCACUGAGCUUCAGACAAUCCUAAUUUUAAGUAAAAUAUAUCUUAUCAUAUCAAUCGACAGAAAGCAUAGCUAGGGAGAUUUAUCAACUUGUACUCCUUCCAAAGCAAAUUUACUAGCCUGCAUAUUAGAGAACUUGCUGAUCUGUGAAGCAACUUCAUAAAAUUAUAUUCCUCCCCACAUUGUUUACCAAGAUUGUUCUUGCAUCAGACUCCUUGAUAUUCUGUAACAUCAGCUUCUGGUAUUGUUUUAGAAUGAAACCUGCAAAAGGAAUUUUGAGCUUCAGAGAACUUCAGAUAUAUGUAUGAAUUUACAUUUUUCUCAAAACUUGGGUGAUUAUAGUGUGAACUACAGGUACUUGCUAUCUCUGCAAAUCAGACUUAUAGUGCCUUAGUUAGAAGUAUUUAGAAGUUAGAAUAGAUAAUAGUUAGAAGCCUAACAAGCUUUAGGUGUUGGAGCUUGAGUAUUUUAGUUUUAGUUUAGUUUAGUUUAGUUCAGGUUUCUGGACCUGCAAACCUGCUCAGUGGGUCUUAAUAUACAUUAUACUGUGAUCUGAUAUUGACAAUGGCUAAAAAUUGCUAAAAUUAUUAUUAAAAAUAAUUUAGUAUAUUUUCUGAGAGAAUGGAGAAAAGACAUAAGUGAAUAAAAUAAUUUCAAAAACUAUCUGUUGUACUGCAUGUGUGUAUGUAACCAUGAAAGGCAUGGGGGGGGGGGGAAAUUAGGUCUUACUUAAUAGCAAGGUAUGCAAAAGUGAUUCAAAAUGCACAUACUGAGAUCUAGUGAAGCAGAUAAUCAAGGCAUGUAAGUAAACAGGUGCCAAUUCUGUACAGAUUUUUUGGCACUAACCUGCUAGUUCUGGAAGAGAAGUGACACCACUGAAUAGGUUUGGUCUGGACAGACUUUAAUACUAGAGUUUUAUCUCUGUAAUUCCUAUACCAUCUCUCCAGAACCACUGUUUUGGAGGUAACUGGAUGUAGGCAAUUAACUGUACAUAUCAAUAUCAUUUUGACUCAUAUGGGAGAUGGUAGAUGAAUAAAUUCGUUGUUCAUAAGACCCUGUAUGCACCAUAUGAACUGUUAUACCUACUCAUCUCCUCUGCACCUUCACAAAGUGGUAGUCACAUUUCUUCAGUUGAAAGAUUAGGUUAUUUAGGAUUAUUUAAGAUGCAUUGAAAUUUGAUUUAUGUGCAAAUGUAGCUUGUAUGAACAAGUUUCCAUUCUUAAGAGGCAUGACUGUUAUUCAUGCACACACACAGCAAGACAAUUCCUUUGGUUUCUCUACAGGGAUAGCUUUCCUUGCCUUGAACGUCUCACCAGCUGUGCAACUUUAAGGCAGCAUUUUCCAACUGAACUAGUUUGACCAACUUACACAGUUUGCCUACUGAGAUUGCCUAGUAACAGUUCCAUUCUGCACUUGUUUUCACCUGAUUUGUUCAACUGCUUUCUCUACGUUACUUGUUGGAGUUUGAAAGUCUUUUCCAGAAGCUUUUAAUUUUAAGCAGCAGGAAGUGAAAGAAGGCUCCUUUGGAAAAUGUGUUUAUCCCUCUUUCUUCAAACAGAAAAAUAUUGUUUCCCUUUCCUUUUCUGUCCAAGAAUUUAUCACUUCUUUUCAUUCUUGCUGAGCUGAUACAAAACAUUUAUUUAUAGGAAGCUAUCCUAGUUUUUGCCAUUUAGAGUCACAGCAUGUUUUGGAGAACAUCCACCCUGAAAGGUACUCUUUUUAAUUUUGAGUUGCAUGAAAAUAUUUGCUAUGAAAAGUGUUUGCAUAAACUCAAGCCAUUUCAUGAUAAGAGAUCAUGUUUGUAUGCUGAAGAUUUUUUCGUCUUCAUCAGAUGCUCUCUUUGAAAGUCCUAGGCUUGUUUCCUUAGCCAGUAUGUGACAAGGGAAAAGCAGUUCUUUGUGCUGGUAACUCCAAUUUUGGCAGACUCAUUCAUAGACUUCUCACAGAUGAGAGUUUGGUGUGUGUAUAAGCUUCUGCAAUAUAUUCAUUCUUAGUAUUUGUUUUUGCUAAAAAUCAGUUAUUCCUUAAACUUUACGCAGGAUUUUAAGUGCCUUGGGAACCCCUUUCAAAUCUCUUAAUCUAUUUUUUCAAGAUCUAUGACUAUUUCAACAGCAAAACACGAGCAGAUAAUAAUUUCUCUUUAAUUUACUUUGCAUGUUCCUAAAUAAUAGAGAGACAGAGUUAAUACGAGAGAUACUUUGUUUAUUCCUAACUAGAAUUGUACAUUAAUUUAGUCCAUCCUAGCAACCUCUGCUGGUGAAAUAGGAGAUUAAGAAGAAAAAUUUCCUAAAGACUAAAUCUACUUUGGGUUAUUUCUUUGGAGUAAAUUAUUUGCUAUGUCUUCUAUCAAGGGCUUUCAUAGCCCUUAUAGUGCCUAUACCUGCUUCAUUUCUUCAGAAACCAGAGUCAACCUUUAAAUGGAUGCAUUUAAUUUAAAAAAAUGAAGCAGUUAUUUGAAUAGUUGUUGCUUAUACUCCUUGAACCGUGUGAGAGUAAUAACAAAACAUUUAUUUUUCCCAGAUCUGUAAUUAACAGAAAAACUAGAAUAGCAGCAGUAAUAAAGCCAACUGAGUCAUUAUGUAGUUUUUGCCUUUCAUAGAUGAUAAUCACAGAACUUGGUAAUUUAUUGGUCUUGCGAACUGAGAACCCAUAAAGUAAGUACUCGAAUCCAUAACUUGAAAGCCAAUUAUAUCACUACAUAGACCUUCUGGAAUGUAGCGUGACUCUCUUAGUAAAGUUUUUCCACUGGCAAAGCAAACUGAAAGUCACUUUUUGUCAGAUCUAUGCUUCUGUCUUUUGCCUUUGUGUGUGUGUGUUAAAAGUGCAAUGAAAUUGCUCUGUUUCAAGCUCUAGUGUUUCAUUCUCUACAGCUGUAGCCAAUUUUAAAAGGUAUGAAAGGACCACAGUGUUGGAAUUGAAAUCCAAGUUGCAGAACUGAAAGGUGAAUUCACAUCUAUCUAAGGAAGGCUGAAUUACCUGAAGGACAAAACUGUUUGGCUGAAUGUAUCUAGCUGAAUGUGGCUAUUAUGCAAGCACAAGACAGGAAUGCUCAUCUCCUGUAGUUUGCAUUGCAUUAGUAUACAACAUGCAUACAUCCGAUGUUGUCUUGUAGAGUCAUGGGUUUCCUAGGACCAGACACAUUAAGUUAUUCUUGGGAAUUCACUUGCAGUGUAUCAUAAGUGACUGCCUUUUCAUCCUAGUCCUUGGUGAAAUGCAAAAGUGCUUUCAGCACACCAUUUUAUUUAGCUUGUGUCUUCUGGCUAAGGGGAUGUCAGAGGCAGGCAAGAAUGCUGACAGUUGAAAUAUAUGCCCCUGACUCUGGCAGUGCACUGUGAUAUCCUAAAAAGAAAGCAAUAUUUGUUUGUACAGAGAAUUGCUUUAUUCACGUACUGGUGUGACUUUCAUGAGUUGUGUUUUAAUAUUAAGUAUCUGUAGUGUUGCAACCACUUAAAAAAUUGAUUAGACAAUGUGAACUUGAGCUUUAUGAAAUGAGUUUCCAUCUACUUGCAUUCCAUUGCAUAAAUACUAUACAGAUUUCUUUUUAAACAAACAAACAAUUAUCAAUAUUUGGAACUCCUUUCUUGGAACAAAACAUUCAAAGCAGCCAUCACUGUACAGAAUAAAUAAAUAAAUAAAUAAACCUUUAUGUAAAGAAACAGUUGUAAGCUAUUUGACAAAAGAUUAUUUGAAAACUCUCCUAAGCUUGUUGUAAGCAAUAAAGAUAGAAGUUUACCCCUCAGCCACAGACUCUUCAGCACAGCGGUGAAUAAUCUACCUGUGUCUGCUGUACAUAUAUGUGGAAAGGAAGCUGUGCCAAUUAAGAAAUGCUGUAUGUAUUCUUCAUAUAGUUUUGGUGUGCUCAGUCAUCAUCAUUUUGUUCCUUAAGGUGCAGGCACAUAAAGUUUGGUUUGUAUCCACUUCUUGUGCUGCCAUGAUCACACAGUACUCAUCUUUUUGUAAUUAAGAUAUUUAUGAUUUUUUCCCGUUCUUGUGGGAAAAAAAUUCUUAUUCUUAUAUUC